rnacentral:lncRNA from 1 species
GUAUUUGAUGGUGAUAAUAAUUUUGAAAGUUUAUCGAUAAAGAAAAAAAUAAAAGUAUGUAUUGGAGAGCAGCUAUUCCCUGAUAGGUAAUGGUUGCUGAAAAACCCUUGAGAAUAUUUCUAACACAGGUCUUAAAAAAUCCUGAAGCCACCAUUUUCACAAAACAUAUAGCACUAAUCAUCUAUAUCUAUUAUGCUAAACAAAAUACAACAACUUUGUAUGCUCUUUCUAUGAGAUAUGAGACAUAUCUACAACGUCUACAAAUUCUUUGUUAAAUGUCUCUUUACUUGAAAAUCAGGUUUGAUCACCUGCUCUUUAAUGCUGUCUUGUUGACAGUAGACAGUCAGUAAAAAGGGCAUGAAUGACUAAAUGUUUUUCUGUUUCAAAACUGUAUCUUCUCAGUUUUGUGACCAUUAAACUCAGGCAAUUUACUCUCUGAUAAAUUGGGAUUACUUUCUACAUCAAUGUUGCUGGGGAUGCAACAUCAAGCAAGGCAGACAAGACUCCUGGCUCCAUCCAACUUACAUAGUAGUGGAGGAGGAGUAUAAUAAACUGAUGUCUAAUAUAAUGUCAAAAGUGAUGAAUGCUAGGAGAAAAAUAAAGCACAGUGAGGGAAUUGCUACUUUGACAGGAUGGUCAUGAUAGAUUUCUUUGUGCAGGUGACAUCUGAGCAGUAACCAUAGUGAUAUGGGGGAAAGAACCACGUGGAUUUUGAGCAUGUUUGGGGAACAUAGGAGGGUUUUGGCUGGGGAGAUUACAACUCAUAUUUUAAAGGAAUCAUCUGAUUGCUGUAAGAAGGGUCUACUGGGGCUGGAGACAAGAAUAUAAACAGUUUGGAAUCAAUUGCCAUAAUCAAGGUGAUAGAUUUUGGUGACCUUGCUUCAGAGUUGCAGUUCUGGAUUAUGAUGGAAUAACUGGAAUUAGACUUGCCCUUCUGAAGUAAACAACUAGAAAGCUGUACAACAGUCAUAAGUCAACUGUUUUCAAGCAUUGGAUAAAACAACACUGUCGUCUUUGCGGGAAGAAAAACACAUGAGGUAGGCCUUAUAUUCACAUCAACUGUCUGCCUAGGGACACUCCCC